ACGGAGGGGGCAAGCGUUGUUCGGAAUCAUUGGGCGUAAAGGGCGCGUAGGCGGCCGGCCAAGUCGGGUGUGAAAUCCCUCGGCUCAACCGAGGAACUGCACUCGAUACUGGCUGGCUUGAGUCCGGGAGGGGAUGGUGGAAUUCCCAGUGUAGCGGUGAAAUGCGUAGAUAUUGGGAAGAACACCGGUGGCGAAGGCGGCCAUCUGGACCGGAACUGACGCUGAGGAGCGAAAGCGUGGGGAGCAAACAGGA
rnacentral:rRNA from 1 species